CCAGGGGGCCGGGCAGCCGCGUCAUCGCUUUGUCGAUGCCGAGGAAAGUCCGGGCUCCAUGAAACAAGGGUGGCGGGUAACGCCCGCCGGCUCCGGACUUGCUCCGGGGUCAGGGAAAGUGCCACAGAGAACAGACCGCCAAACCGGAGCAAUCCGGCGGCAAGGGUGAAACGGUGCGGUAAAAGCGCACCGCGCGCGCCGGUAACGGCCGCGGCACGGCAAACCCCACCCGGAGCAAGACCGAAUAGGGGCGACGCGCCGGGGUAUCCGGCAGGCGGGUUUCACGCCAAGAGUCGAAAGGCUCUGCGCCGUCCGGGUUGGUUGCUUGAGCGUCGCAGCAAUGCGCCGCCUAGAGGAAUGGCUGCCCGUGCCGAUACGGUCCGACAAUCGGAUACCGUCGGUGCGACAGAACCCGGCUUACAGGCCCCCUGGCAUC
rnacentral:RNase_P_RNA from 2 species